GACGAACGCUGGCGGCGUGCUUAACACAUGCAAGUCGAACGGAAAGGCCCUGCUUUUGUGGGGUGCUCGAGUGGCGAACGGGUGAGUAACACGUGAGUAACCUGCCCUUGACUUUGGGAUAACUUCAGGAAACUGGGGCUAAUACCGGAUAGGAGCUCCUGCUGCAUGGUGGGGGUUGGAAAGUUUCGGCGGUUGGGGAUGGACUCGCGGCUUAUCAGCUUGUUGGUGGGGUAGUGGCUUACCAAGGCUUUGACGGGUAGCCGGCCUGAGAGGGUGACCGGCCACAAUGGGACUGAGAGACGGCCCAGACUCGUACGGGAGGCAGCAGUGGGGAAUAUUGCACAAUGGGCGGAAGCCUGAUGCAGCAACGCCGCGUGCGGGAUAACGGCCUUCGGGUUGUAAACCGCUUUCGCCUGUGACGAAGCGUGAGUGACGGUAAUGGGUAAAGAAGCACCGGCUAACUACGUG
rnacentral:rRNA from 1 species